rnacentral:tRNA from 1 species
GUCUGGCUGGCUCAGUUGGUAAAGCAUGUGACUCUUGAUCUUAUGGUUGUGAGUUUGAGCCCCAUGUGAGAUU